UGGUGUAUGAUUUUCAGCAUACACUUGAUGAAAUCACUUAUAUGAGUGUCGAGUGGGGCCGCUUGCAUGAGAUCUUGGCAUGAUCUCUAGAACACUCAUGAAUACUAGGCACGCGCAUGGCCUAAUAAGCGCAACACAGCGAUAACAACAAGAAUUGUGGGGGUGUAUUAUGAUUGAUAAACCUCUAACACACAUCAAGUGUCUUUGGUUCAUAUAGCUUGCUAUACCAACUACACUGUGUGUUAAGUUUCUUGAUCUAAGACUGGUUCAUAUAGCUUGCUAUACCAGUUCUGAUGCAUUACAUCCUAUGAGACCUAGGAUAAAAGUUUUUCUUCUUUUCUCUCAAUUUUCUUUUGCAAUAAGUGAGGGAUUGUUGUAAUAAUGAUUAUAUUAUUGCAAAAGAAAAUGUUGGAUUACAACUUUCAAAACUUUAAUUGCCAAUAAUGUGCUCCAACUGUAAUAUUCCAAUAGCCAAAUUUUUAAGUGAUGUAACUGUCAAAUUAUUUAUUGGUUUUAAUUUCUUUUAUUUAUUUUAUUCUUUCCUAGCUCUAUAAAUAGAGAACUCUUCCCCCUUUCCAAAACAGAACAAGUUGAGUCUUUCUCAUUCUCCUCUCUCUUCUUAGUUUCAUUCUCUUUUCAUCCUGGACAUAAAUUCUAUCAGAUUUUCUUGCUUCUUGCUAGUUCUGUAAUCCUCGAAUACAUUUCGAGAAAUUCCAAUUGUAUCCUGGGGGACUUAUGCAACACACCACAGAUAAAUCCUUAAGGACAAUGAAUCUACAUGCCUCAGGAAAUUGCGAUUCAAGUGAACUAAAUUAUAGUUAGACCUUUUAGUUUGGCUCGUUAAGCUUAUUAUUUCACAAAUAUGUGACUUAAAAGGUGGCUUCUUCCCACAGUUCCAUCAAAUUUCUCCAUGCAUCCUGUCAAAUAAUCUUCAACUUUUAAAAGCUUUUAACUUUGGGUAAAAAAGAUUGAAAAAUUCAAAGAGAAUCUUUGACUUAGAUUCUGUUUUCUCUAAACCUAAAAACUCUUCUCUCUUCACUCUCACUUUCUCGGUGUCACUCUCACUAUCAUUUUCUAGCCAUUCACAACACUCUCCUUCCUCUCCUCUCAACCCCACCUCCUUUCUGUUUGUUCCUCUUUAUUGGACCUACUUCAGUUUCGUUGGUGUUCUUCAUUGGUGAUUUGGUGCCUAAAAGAUUGGUGCUCCCUUC
rnacentral:lncRNA from 1 species